GAUGAACGCUGGCGGCGUGCCUAAUACAUGCAAGUCGAGCGAACGGACGAGAAGCUUGCUUCUCUGAUGUUAGCGGCGGACGGGUGAGUAACACGUGGAUAACCUACCUAUAAGACUGGGAUAACUUCGGGAAACCGGAGCUAAUACCGGAUGAUCUUUUGAACCGCAUGGUUCAAAAGUGAAAGACGGUCUUGCUGUCACUUAUAGCUGGAUCCGCGCUGCAUUAGCUAGUUGGUAAGGUAACGGCUUACCAAGGCAACGAUGCAUAGCCGACCUGAGAGGGUGAUCGGCCACACUGGAACUGAGACACGGUCCAGACGCCUACGGGAGGCAGCAGUAGGGAAUCUUCCGCAAUGGGCGAAAGCCUGACGGAGCAACGCCGCGUGAGUGAUGAAGGUCUUCGGAUCGUAAAACUCUGUUAUUAGGGAAGAACAUAUGUGUAAGUAACUGUGCACAUCUUGACGGUACCUAAUCAGAAAGCCACGGCUAACUACGUG
rnacentral:rRNA from 1 species